CCUACGGGGGGCAGCAGUGGGGAAUAUUGGACAAUGGGGGCAACCCUGAUCCAGCCAUGCCGCGUGUGUGAAGAAGGCCCUCGGGUUGUAAAGCACUUUCAGUGAGGAAGAACGCCUGGUGGUUAAUACCCAUCAGGAAAGACAUCACUCACAGAAGAAGCACCGGCUAACUCCGUGCCAGCAGCCGCGGUAAUACGGAGGGUGCGAGCGUUAAUCGGAAUUACUGGGCGUAAAGCGCGCGUAGGUGGCUUGAUAAGCCGGUUGUGAAAGCCCCGGGCUCAACCUGGGAACGGCAUCCGGAACUGUCAAGCUAGAGUGCAGGAGAGGAAGGUAGAAUUCCCGGUGUAGCGGUGAAAUGCGUAGAGAUCGGAAGGAAUACCAGUGGCGUAGGCGGCCUUCUGGACUGACACUGACACUGAGGUGCGAAAGCGUGGGUAGCAAACAGGAUUAGAUACCCUUGUAGUC
rnacentral:rRNA from 1 species